rnacentral:lncRNA from 1 species
GGUGGAUUUGGAGAGAGGCGGCGGUCGGUAAUCAGAAAUCUAUAAUCGCUGGCAAUAUAUUUGGAUGGGAGUUUUAAACUUUCCAGAAGAUAAACGGUGGUAAGAUGAUCUCAAUGGAUCGAAUCACUGGAGAUAGCGUCGAUGCGACAGAAGAAAAUUUCGAUUAAUCGAAGUUUCACGAUAAUAGCUUUUGCUUUAUGA